CCUACGGGGGGCAGCAGUGGGGAAUAUUGCACAAUGGGGGAAACCCUGAUGCAGCGACGCCGCGUGAAGGAAGAAGUAUUUCGGUACGUAAAGCUCUAUCAGCAGGGAAGAAAAUGACGGUACCUGACUAAGAAGCCCCGGCUAACUCCGUGCCAGCCGCCGCGGUAAUACGUAGGGGGCAAGCGUUAUCCGGAUUUACUGGGUGUAAAGGGAGCGUAGACGGCAGCGCAAGUCUGGAGUGAAAUCCCAUGGCUUAACCAUGGAACUGCUUUGGAAACUGUGCAGCUAGAGUGCAGGAGAGGUAAGCGGAAUUCCUAGUGUAGCGGUGAAAUGCGUAGAUAUUAGGAGGAACACCAGUGGCGAAGGCGGCUUACUGGACUGUAACUGACGUUGAGGCUCGAAAGCGUGGGGAGCAAACAGGAUUAGAUACCCUGGUAGUC
rnacentral:rRNA from 1 species